AGCCUCCCCCACCCGCACCUCCUCACUCUGCUUCAGCCUCAAAGAAUGAGGUUCAAGUCCGUGGCAAACUUUUUGGUGCAACUUGCCAUCUCGUGGAACCCGUCACCCCUUCAGGUCACAAGGGAGCAAGCACAACUUUGGGUGAUGAUCAAGACCCUCACGACCUUCUGCCCCCUGAGCAGGAAAAUGGUGCUAAUUAUGAAAAACAAAAGUUUAAGUACACCAGAGGACUAGAACAACACAAGUAGUAUUGGCUCUUCUGUUCAAAAGCACCCGGACAAUAGCCACCCCCGGCCACGCCACUGGCAGAACCUGCAGCUCCUCCUGGGCAGGCUAUGUGACCAGGCGGCCACUGGGACCUUCAGCGCCGAGGACGACUG